UACGGGGGGGGCAAGCGUUGUUCGGAAUUACUGGGCGUAAAGGGCUCGUAGGCGGCCAACUAAGUCAGACGUGAAAUCCCUCGGCUUAACCGGGGAACUGCGUCUGAUACUGGUUGGCUUGAAUCCGGGAGAGGGAUGUGGAAUUCCAGGUGUAGCGGUGAAAUGCGUAGAUAUCUGGAGGAACACCGAUGGCGAAGGCAAUCCCCUGGGCCUGCACUGACGCUCAUGCACGAAAGCGUGGGGAGCAAACAGG
rnacentral:rRNA from 1 species